AGACCUGCCAGGGAAGGGACGGCCCGGCCGCGGGAUCGAGGGCACCGAGAGAAAAAUCCCUCCUGUCAAUGUUUCAUGGCCAGAAACUACCCUUGGCUGCUGCUGCUGCUGUGUCCUUUCCAGGCAAAUCCCGCAGCCAUGCACCCGGCUCCACCAAAACCACUGAGGUUUUCUUUGCUAAGAAGACUCCAUGGCUCCCCAAAUUCCCCCCAAGUCCCCGUGCUCCCAGCCUCCCGCCCACGGGGACCAGAAGAAACCCUGUUCUCAGCACUAGAAGAAUAUUUGGAACAGCGAGGGCACGCUGCUGCCUUCUCAGGGAUCUUCUUGUGAAGUGUCUGAGAGGCCACCGUGGCUGGAGCGCUGGCUGGGCAGCCAGGGACCAAGGUGAGGAAGGACUGUUGGCAAGAAGAGGCAUCAAAACCCCCAAAUGGGGAGGAAAGUUCAUGAGGAAAUACACUUGCCUGUGAGGGUGAGGCUGGCGCUGGGAGGGUGAAAAGGGACUAAGCUUUCUUAUAGCUAGUUUAGCUGUAACAGUAGCUCUAGCUCUUUCCUUGGGGGAAAAGCCGGUGCUCUCUGUAUGUGGCUGUUGGUUUCCUCGAACUGUGCACACUUUUGUACAGAACCGGCUGGAGAGCCCUCCCUUAGAUAUUUAUUCUGCUCACUAGUACUGAAGCAACAAUAAAAGGUGCCUUUAACAAA